rnacentral:rRNA from 1 species
GGCUUAAAGGCCUGUCGUCACUCCUUUGAAGGAAGUGCUGCUACGGCGAAUUUUGGUAGGGUCUAUCCCCAUUCUGCGGGCGGUGUCCUGGUAUUGCAGUUGCCGCGUUGUCCUUUCGUGUUAUCACAUGAAGUGAGUUCACUGUUUUGACUUCUAGUAGGAAAGUCUUCUGUUUUCCGGAGUGCUGCUUUUGGGCGGUGAAUCGGGUUGAAAGUGAAAGUCGCCAAAAAGUGGCGGAAUGCUCUCGAAACCAACUCACUUGAGUGAGACAGAGGAGAGUGGAAUUUCAUGUGUAGGGGUGAAAUCCGUAGAUCUACGAAGCCAAAAGCGAAGGCAGCUCUCUGGGUCCCUACCGACACUAGGGUGCGAAAGCAUGGGGAGCGAACAGGAUUAGAUACCCUGGUAGUCCAUGCCAUAAACGAUGAGUGUUCGCCCUUGGUCUACGCGGAUCAGGGGCCCAGCUAACGCGUGAAACACUCCGCC